GAUGAACGCUGGCGGCGUGCCUAAUACAUGCAAGUCGAGCGAACAGACGAGGAGCUUGCUCCUCUGACGUUAGCGGCGGACGGGUGAGUAACACGUGGAUAACCUACCUAUAAGACUGGGAUAACUUCGGGAAACCGGAGCUAAUACCGGAUAAUAUAUUGAACCGCAUGGUUCAAUAGUGAAAGACGGUUUUGCUGUCACUUAUAGAUGGAUCCGCGCCGCAUUAGCUAGUUGGUAAGGUAACGGCUUACCAAGGCAACGAUGCGUAGCCGACCUGAGAGGGUGAUAGGCCACACUGGAACUGAGACACGGUCCAGACUCCUACGGGAGGCAGCAGUAGGGAAUCGUCCGCAAUGGGCGAAAGCUUGACGGAGCAACGCCGCGUGAGUGAUGAAGGUCUUCGGAUCGUAAAACUCUGUUAUUAGGGAAGAACAAAUGUGUAAGUAACUAUGCACGUCUUGACGGUACCUAAUCAGAAAGCCACGGCUAACUACGUG
rnacentral:rRNA from 1 species